rnacentral:tRNA from 1 species
GCAGUCGUGGCCGAGUGGUUAAGGCGAUGGACUUGAAAUCCAUUGGGGUCUCCCUGCGUAGGUUCGAAUCCUACCGGCUGCG